AGUCACCUAGAUAACAGAUUGCCUAACAUAAAGAGCUGUGUUUGGUUUCAAGGUAAUUCUAGUUCAUCUGGUGGUUUAUUAGCUGUGAUCAAAUCUGGCUGAAAGUGUCCAGAAGGACAGAGAAAGGGCGGAAAAUCAAAGACCUCACCUUGCCUACAUCUACACAGCCAAGACUGCCACAAAACAAGAGACAGAGUCUGCAUUAAAGCAGACACAAGAUAUAGACAUAAGUUGCCUGUUCUGCACCCAUGGAACUUCCUGGACGUCCAUUCGCUUUCUGACCUUUCCUGCCCAUGCUUCAGACGGAGCAACCCAUUCUUCAUGGCCUUCCAGGCUGUCACGUCUGUUGUUCGCCGUCCGUGGACACCAAAGUGGAGAGCUGGCUCUCCUUGAAACAGCUUGAGAAAAAUUCCAAUGUGGCUCCCGGUUCUGACCUCCCGAGGACUUUCGGACAGAGCAAAUACAUCUCUGCAAAGUCAGAUGUUUAAGGCGAAGGCUAAAACGAAGUCCGAGCUUUUACUUUAGACUUUGCCCGUCAGCCUGCCGUCUUCCCAGGCUUACUUCCCGCCUCCCCUCUGUCUUAACCAGAUCACACCAGGCUCUCUCGGUUCCUGCUGCUUUCCCGAAUCCUCAUCCCUGAAGUCUCAGCGCACCUGUCCUGUCACCUCCAUGAAACUCCUGCAUCACCCUGUUUGGACGUAAUCUGAGCUCGCUGGGCUCUUCCUACCUCACGGGGCUUUUCUUCUGCUCUUGUGAUGGUCCGUGUGUGAAGCAAGACCCAUACGAAAAGGAUCCUGUGUAGGAGGCUUGGCCGUGGUUGAGGGCGCCGUUGAAGAUGAUUGAAUGUUAAGUGUGUUAACCUCUCCUGGCUUUUAGAUGAGGCCUAUAGGUUGCCGGGAGCAUCAAUUUGGAAGGUAUCUUUUUUUUUCUUUUAACUUUUUAUUGAUUUUUUUAUGAGUUUUACAUUAUGCACCCCAGUUCUUCUCAGCCCCCUGUCCCUUCAUAUCCACCCUUCGUCCUUGCAACCCCCCCCAAAAAAUAAAAAAUGCACAAAUAAGCAAACAACAACAACAAAAAAUAAGCAAAAAAAACCCAAAGCACAGAAAGCCUCUCAUCACGGAAGCUGGAGGGUGUCCCAGAAUAUAUAUCCCUCUGUUCGUUGCGCUGAGUCAUUGUUCUGGUUAGAGAUCUCUGGCUUCUGUGACACCAUCAAUAUUGGAUCCUCACCGGGCCUCCUCCCAGUUAUCCUGUGUUGGCCUGUGUCAUAGAGAUCUGGCAGCUUUGGAUCAGCAGUCCUGGCCUUUGCAUGUGUCCCAACCAUCCAUAGAUAACGGAUUUUUGGGCAUAAAACAGCUUUGGCCACCUUCCUUGAAAUCAAACUAUACUAAACAAAGAACUGCCAUCCACUCUGCCCCUAACAACACUACUGACAAGUGUUCUGCCUCGCUCCGGUCCCACCACGAUGGAGUCAGCCUUCAAUAAACAAAAACCUUCAAGUCAUGGGCCCAAAUACAUCUCUCCCCCACCCCACGACGGCAUCCAUCUCAGAUGCUUUCAGGAGUGAUGUAAAGUGACCAACUCGCUGUCUUAUUCUACAGGCUCUCAUAAAACCCGUCUCCCGGACCGACAAUAAAUUAUCUGUAGUAAGACCUC